AGAGUUUGAUCAUGGCUCAGGACGAACGCUGGCGGCGUGCCUAAUACAUGCAAGUCGAGCGAAUCGACGGGAGCUUGCUCCCUGAGAUUAGCGGCGGACGGGUGAGUAACACGUGGGCAACCUGCCUAUAAGACUGGGAUAACUUCGGGAAACCGGAGCUAAUACCGGAUACGUUCUUUUCUCGCAUGAGAGAAGAUGGAAAGACGGUUUACGCUGUCACUUAUAGAUGGGCCCGCGGCGCAUUAGCUAGUUGGUGAGGUAAUGGCUCACCAAGGCGACGAUGCGUAGCCGACCUGAGAGGGUGAUCGGCCACACUGGGACUGAGACACGGCCCAGACUCCUACGGGAGGCAGCAGUAGGGAAUCUUCCGCAAUUGACGAAAGUCUGACGGAGCAACGCCGCGUGAACGAAGAAGGCCUUCGGGUCGUAAAGUUCUGUUGUUAGGGAAGAACAAGUACCAGAGUAACUGCUGGUACCUUGACGGUACCUAACCAGAAAGCCACGGCUAACUACGUGCCAGCAGCCGCGGUAAUACGUAGGUGGCAAGCGUUGUCCGGAAUUAUUGGGCGUAAAGCGCGCGCAGGUGGUUCCUUAAGUCUGAUGUGAAAGCCCACGGCUCAACUG
rnacentral:rRNA from 1 species